GAUGAACGCUGGCGGCGUGCUUAACACAUGCAAGUCGAACGAUGAAGCCCAGCUUGCUGGGUGGAUUAGUGGCGAACGGGUGAGUAACACGUGAGUAACCUGCCCUUGACUCUGGGAUAAGCCUGGGAAACUGGGUCUAAUACUGGAUAUGACUUCUCAUCGCAUGGUGGGGGGUGGAAAGAUUUAUUGGUCUUGGAUGGACUCGCGGCCUAUCAGCUUGUUGGUGAGGUAAUGGCUCACCAAGGCGACGACGGGUAGCCGGCCUGAGAGGGUGACCGGCCACACUGGGACUGAGACACGGCCCAGACUCCUACGGGAGGCAGCAGUGGGGAAUAUUGCACAAUGGGCGCAAGCCUGAUGCAGCGACGCCGCGUGAGGGAUGACGGCCUUCGGGUUGUAAACCUCUUUCAGUAGGGAAGAAGCGAGAGUGACGGUACCUGCAGAAGAGGCGCCGGCUAACUACG
rnacentral:rRNA from 1 species